rnacentral:lncRNA from 1 species
AAACGUCGCGAGUUCGUUAUUUCUGCUCCUGCUAGUUUAUAUUUAGUAGUUUUUUUCUUUGAAAUGAAAAACAUACCGUGUUAUUAGAACCGGAUUCGGAAGUGCUGAAAACAGCUGCCGUUUUUGCUUCGGUCGGAACGGUGAUAAGCGGAAGAACCGGGACGGAAUGAUGAUGAUGCCGCGCAGCUUGGAUUGCAACUUAUCAAACCAGUGUCCCGAGUGAUAACAAGUUAUUCGUGACCAAUCGUAAUUCCAUAGGUUUUAAUUAAAACUAAGUUUUUCCACACUUAUUUACUUGUUUCAUUGCCUCUUCUAAGAAAUAUCCCCGUUCUUUUUUAAAUGGUAUAAAUGUAAUAGAA